CUUGCGAACAAGCAAGAAGUGAAACUCCAGCGCCCAAGCUCUGGGCAGGGGUGGCCUGGGAGGGAGGGGACAUUUGCGGAGGGUCCCUGCCCGUCUUCCCUGUGUCCCCGAGGAGGGCAAGGGGGCUCCCCACACAACCGUCUGCUGCCCAUUCCAGCAGCUGCUUGGAAGCCGAGAGUUUUUACAAGCAAACCCCAGACCAGAAAACACGCCCCGCCACAACGCUUCCGGAACGCGUCAGGUGGGCACAUUGCACCCGAUGAAGUCUGUCUGCCAAAGCUCGCUUGUAAGUUGGUGGUAAUCACACGUGCUUUUGUCCCUGGCAGCGAUCCCCGUUCUGCAGUCACUUGGUGCGAAGGGAUUCGAAUCUUCUCCCUUUUUCCAAAGAGGCUGCAAGGUAAGAACCGUAUUGAAGCCACUGUCACUGAAUGCAGUUUGCUGGUGUCGGACUGUCGUUCUAGGAAAACCCGGUUUGCCCAGAUCGUCCCUGGAGUAACAGCCACAGGUCUUUUUCUUUUUCUUUUUUUAAAGUUUAUUUUUAUUUAUUUUGAGAGAGAGAGAGAGCAUGAGUGCAAGUGGGGGAGGGGCAGAGAGAGGGAGAGAGAGAGAGAGAGAGAGAGAGAGAGAGAGAGAGAGAAAGAAUCCCAAGCAGGCUCCAUGCUGUCAGCACAGAGCCCCAGUGCGGGGAACUCGAACCCACAAACGGUGAGAUCACGAGCUGAGCUGAAGUCAAGAGUCAGACGCUUGACUGACAGCCUCCCAGACGCCCCACCUACAGCCCUUUUACACAGGCAAGUCCGAAGUCACUUGUCCACAAGGCAUCUCCCGAAGGAAACAGCGACAGGACCCGGGUAAGAGGAUGGUCUUUCAGGUGUUGCUUUCCCAGAGCUUAAGCACAGCAGUGUCAAGGGGCCUGGGGAGGGGGGUGGUCUGACCCCAGCCUUCCUCCUGCCCCUCCCAGCCCCUUCUCUACCCUCUAGACUAGAAGGGCAAGCUG
rnacentral:lncRNA from 1 species